UUGUCAAACUGAAUUCCAGGAAGCUAACUUGUGGUCUUUAAAUGGCUGGGAUAGUGGAAGAAAGCUAAGCAGACAUGCUCUAGCCCAUCUCUAGCACCCAUCCUCGGCUUUAACCCAGGGCUUGCACUUUGGUUAUUUUAUAUAUUAGGAUUCCCUAUGAGAUUUGUUUAGGGGGUGAAAAAAAGGGUUAUUCAUCCAGCAUUCAGUCCUUUUAUUUUAAGUAAGGAAAAUUAGAUUCUUGAGCCUCAGAAGCACUCGUGACAUCUUUGGUGACAGUUUGGAGCAUCCUGCCGGUCUGCUAUCAGGUCGUCAUGACAGAUUACCCAGAAGAAUGAAAUAUGUCAACAUUGAAAGAUUUGCAUAAUUCAGAGAAUCACUA
rnacentral:lncRNA from 1 species